UACGUAGGGGGCUAGCGUUGUCCGGAUUUAUUGGGCGUAAAGAGCGUGUAGGCGGCCAAGUAGGUCCGGUGUGAAAACUCGAGGCUUAACCUCGAGAUGUCAUCGGAAACCAUUUGGCUAGAGUCCGGAAGAGGAAAGUGGAAUUCCUGGUGUAGCGGUGAAAUGCGCAGAUAUCAGGAAGAACACCAAUGGCGAAAGCAGCUUGCUACACGAGUAUUGACACUGAGGCACGAAAGCGUGGGGAUCAAACAGG
rnacentral:rRNA from 1 species